CUUUAAGACAUUUAAACCUAUAAAUCUAUCGUAGUAUAUUUCGGAUCAAAAUCAAAUAUUAGAAAUUUAUAUACAACAAGUGGCACUAGUUCCAGUAGGCCUCCCAUAUCACCGCCGAACUCCACUGUGAACCUGCUACAUAAUGCACCUAACAUGGAUGCUACUCGGUCCAGUGCUUCAUCUGGAGGGAUGUACAGUCCCUGGCCAAAUUAUUAGACGCACUGCAAGAUAUCAUGUAAAAUAUUAAUUACCGAGUGAUAUUGUACCGUUUUAUUA